ACAGGAUUAGAUACCCUGGUAGUCCAUGCCGUAAACGAUGUCUACUAGCCGUUGGGGCCUUUGAGGCUUUAGUGGCGCAGCUAACGCGAUAAGUAGACCGCCUGGGGAGUACGGUCGCAAGACUAAAACUCAAAUGAAUUGACGGGGGCCCGCACAAGCGGUGGAGCAUGUGGUUUAAUUCGAUGCAACGCGAAGAACCUUACCUGGUCUUGACAUAGUAAGAACUUUCCAGAGAUGGAUUGGUGCCUUCGGGAACUUACAUACAGGUGCUGCAUGGCUGUCGUCAGCUCGUGUCGUGAGAUGUUGGGUUAAGUCCCGCAACGAGCGCAACCCUUUUCCUUAUUUGCCAGCGGGUUAAGCCGGGAACUUUAAGGAUACUGCCAGUGACAAACUGGAGGAAGGCGGGGACGACGUCAAGUCAUCAUGGCCCUUACGACCAGGGCUACACACGUGCUACAAUGGUCGGUACAAAGGGUUGCUACCUAGCGAUAGGAUGCUAAUCUCAAAAAGCCGAUCGUAGUCCGGAUUGGAGUCUGCAACUCGACUCCAUGAAGUCGGAAUCGCAGUAACCGCGGAUCAGAAUGCCGCGGUGAAUACGUUCCCGGGCCUUGUACACUCCGCCC
rnacentral:rRNA from 1 species